AUGCUGUCCUGGGUGGCACUUUCUGCCAUUGCCACAGAGGCCCCCUCUCUGUAGAAUGCAGCCUUCCUAGUCCAGGGGUAUUGCAGGCAACAAGGACCUUUCACACAAGGCAGCCACUCCUUGCUCCUCUACCACCUCUUCCUUCCUUUUCCUGUGGGGGGAAAGUUCAUUUUGGGUUGAGCCCUGAAUAAUUCUUCCAGUUUCUUUAUCCCAAAACUGGUGAGGACCCUAUGUGCUCCAAACUGGGGCUGAUCUUGAAUGCUUUAUCCAAAGAAAUACAUAUGAUCACUCCAGAGACCUUCUCACCAUAUCAAUAGUAGGGUUACUUGUCUAUGUAAUUUAAAAAUAUGGUGCCUCUAUUGGAGAAUUUGCUCAUAAACUCAAUGAGCAAAACAUUGCUCAACUAGAAGAGGUGAAGCAGGCUUCAUCAAACAAAUCCAGGUUGCAAUUGAUUUGGAGAAGUCACAGCAGUCACUGGUUCACAAGUGCCAUCACCUUUUUGAUGUGCAGAGGAAUAACAUUGCUAUGGCUCUGGAGGUUACUUACUGGGAACAACUGCAAAGAGUGUAUAAGGAAGUAAAGAAUCGCCUGGACUAUCAUAUAUCUGUGCAGAACAUGACGCGCUGAAAGGGACAAGAGCACAUGAUAAAUUGGGUGGAGAAGCACAUGGUAAGGGCAUCUCUCCACAGCAGCUUUGGGACCUAAAGCUAUUGGAAAAGAAGGCUCACACAUGGCCAGUUAUGUAAAUGUAUCUAUCCCAAUUGAGACAGCCAUAAACAUUUGACUGGCUAGUGGAAACUAGUCUAUGUGGCAAAAUCUUUCUGGAUUGCUGUCUACUAAAGUAGUUUAUAUGUCCUAAAAAUGAAACCUUUGUUCAACAUACUGAGAGAACUCAAUCUGUUGGUCAGAUGUUUCUCAUCCUUCUGACUCUGCAUUUGAGUUGUUCCAUGAUUACUUUUUUUGUUGUUGGUUUUCUCAUUUUUGUUUCCAGAUGGAGUCUCGCUCUGUCACCCAGGCUGGAGUGCAGUGGCACGAUCUUGGCACACUGCAACCUCUGCCUCCUGGGUUCAAGUGAUUCUCCUGUCUCAGCCUCCCAAGUACCUGGGAUUACAGGUGUGCACUAUCAUGCCUGGCUAAUUUUUGCAUUUUUAGUAGAGACAGGGUUUUGCCAGCUUGACCAGGCUGGUUUCGAACUCCUGACCUCAGGUGAUUUAAUCACCUUGGCCUUCCAAAGUGUUUGGAUUACAGGCAUUAGCCACCAUGCCUGGCCUCAUGAUGGUUUUUGAAAAAGUAGUUUGCCUUGAUUAAAUGUUGGUGCCUGACUAAAGAUUACCAGGCUAUAGUUUAAAUUUGUAAUUUAUUCUACCAUCUUGCAAUAAAGUGACAAAUGAAUGAAGCAAUAAAUAAAUAAAUAAUAAAGUUGAAAAAAAUAAAGGUACCUCUGGCUAUGCCUGCUCAGAUAAAACAAAUCCCAGUGUUGCCCUAACAGAGCGUCAGGACAUUAGUUAGAAAUCUUUCAACAAGUCCAGAAACACCCAAUGCAGGCAACUCUGAGAGACACACUUUAUCAAAGCUCCUUACUCCAAGUACAUAAACUUGUUGGGCACUUUGCCAUCACAAAUAUCUUAAAAUAUUGUCAAAUGUGUGUUUUCACACAUACACAUACACAAACUAGAUAAGACAGAGCAUUCCAUAGUUUACUACUGAAUGCAAAUAUUAAUAAAUAUUUUUUUAAAAAUCUUUUUAAACAUUGCAAGAAUUCCCAGUCUUAAAAUAAUUACUGGAGGGCUUAAUUUUUUACUUUCUUUCUUAGACAUUACAUUUUUAGAUAGGCCUAUCCAGAAGUGAUAAUCUGAACAUCAACUUGGGCAAAUCUGUUUAUCUAUACAUGUGGUGUAAGGAGUAGCUUUGGAAAUUUACUCCUGUGUUGUAUACAUUUUACAUGUACCAGAAUAUAGUGUAAAAGGUGCCUAUACAAAACCUUCUCUUAAAACUGAAAGCAGUUAGGAUUGGGAGUCUGCAAAGAUAACAAGUAUCUGAAGAUGAACAGAAAACUGGUGAAUCAUGUUUCAGUGGGAUUUGGAAAGUGUAAUAUAUGAGGCAUUAGGCUUAGGAAAAUCACAGGCCAAAACUGCUCCUAAAAUAUAUUUGUAAGAGAACAGGCCCCUUCUGGAUAAAUGAAGACAUUUCUAGAAAUACGAGGUAGAAUAAAUAACUUUCAUUAAUGUUUUCCUAAAAAACUUGAACUUGAUCUGGAAGAGAAAAACAAUGCACAUAGAGACAUUCAUAUUUAAAGGAACAGGGUAAAAUUUUUAAAUAUUCGAUUUGUAUUAGAAUAUCUUAAAAGAAUUUAGAGCUUGGGAAGAGUUUCUCACAUUCAACUGCCAGUUUUUCAGAGGAGGAAAUGAAGGUCAAGAGAAAGGCUACAUGACUGAGAAGUCCAUCAGUCCUACUGAGGGUAACGGGAGGGUAGCCAGGGCUGAAUCUCCCAUCUUUCAACACUAGUAGUAGUACUGUUUAUUGGUCUAUGGAAGGAGGUUGUCUUGUUUCUUCUUGUAGACAAAGAACAUGUAGUUGUUAUGAAUUUCUAUUUUGGAUCUGAUUUUCUACCACGUUCAAUUUUUAGAAAUAUACAUUAGUAUGUACCUAAUAAUUUUUUAGCAGGUACAAUCUGCCAACUUCCUUACUACAUUGAUAAAUUAGAACACACAUAUAAAGCAACUCAAACCUAGAAACUGAUCAAUAAGAGACACUAUUUAUUUUCUUUUUUUUUUCCGGAACAUUUCACAAACUUCCCAUACUGUUUUUCUGUUAGCUUAAGCAUUGUUAAAUUCUUCCCUUUCACACCUACUGCCAAGAACCCACACUUAGCGAAGCAGCUUAAGUGACUCAGUUCAUGUCAAACGUUUCACAGGAUUCUUACUCCCAAGGCAACUCUUUACUAUCCAGUACAUAAGACUCUAGAACACUAAAAUUCUUUAUAUAGUGCCAUGUGGCAUCUAAAAUACCUUUGGCUAAGAAAUAAAACAUAUUUGAUGAAAGUCUGGGGUUGAAAUCAAAGAAUGGAUCAAAGUGGCCCUUCAUUUGGCUCCAAGUCAUCUCACCAUAGUGAAAUACAGCAGAAUGGCACUAAGCUACUGUAAUACCGAGGGGGGAGAUUUUGCAAAAACAGGGAGUAACAAACACGUUUUUGCUCCUACUUUAAAGUAAAUUGUACUAAUGACAACAAUAGUGAUCUUUUAUAGGCCCAAAUUGGAUCACUGAUCAAUAUGAUAGCAUUUCAGUUUCAAAUAUUGGAAAGCAAAAAAUAAUCUGCCAAUUAGAAAACAAAAAGCUUCAAACUUGAGUGAUGUAAUGAUGGAACACCUGUAUUUGACUAGACGUUAUAUACACACCAUUGAAAGACACAGUACCUUAUCUGCCUAAUCUCUACAAACUGCUGCAAAUAAAGGAUGUUUAAACCAUG